UAACUCAAGAACGCUUUUGCCUAGGAUCACGACAUUUCAUAGGUACAUUGAUCGUGACUCGCAGAUGACCCCUAUUGAUUUUCAGGUCACUAGGUCAAAGGUCAAGGUCACAGUGACAAAAAUCGUAUUCACACAAUGGCUGCCACUACAACGGACAGCCCAUAUGGGGGGCAUGCAUGUUUUACAAACAGCCCUUGCUAUUUUUGGCAUAGAAUUUACUUUAUUACCCAGUGUACAUAGCUUUAGAAUUAAUUUUCAAUUGUAAACACACACCUGAAAACUAUCACUCAAUUUCAGAGUGAACAGCAUUUGAUUGUGUAGCCCCAAGAUAGACAAAGUUAUCAAGAAAUGAACGGACUUUAAGACGCACAACAACAACCAUGUGUGAAUGAUGAGAUCUCAUCCAUCACAUCAGUUGAACAAAAGUUGGAAAUCCGCGAAACAGCGCAUGUGAGGCCCAGUCAUUUGAGCCGAUAGUGUUCCACUUCAUUGUUCCCUAGCUGUAGAGUUGUUGGAGAAAAACCUGUAUUGUUAUGUUACAAAGAUAAUUAAAUAAAGGAGUAGAAUUUA